rnacentral:rRNA from 1 species
CCAGACUCCUACGGGAGGCAGCAGUGAGGAAUAUUGGUCAAUGGACGCAAGUCUGAACCAGCCAUGCCGCGUGCAGGAAGACGGCUCUAUGAGUUGUAAACUGCUUUUGUACGAGGGUAAAUGCAGGUACGUGUAUCUGUUUGAAAGUAUCGUACGAAUAAGGAUCGGCUAACUCCGUGCCAGCAGCCGCGGUAAUACGGAGGAUGCGAGCGUUAUCCGGAUUUAUUGGGUUUAAAGGGUGCGUAGGCGGGCAUUUAAGCCGGCGGUCAAAUGUCGGGGCUCAACCCCGGCCUGCCGUCGGAACUGGGUGCCUUGAGUGGGCGAGAAGUAUGCGGAAUGCGUGGUGUAGCGGUGAAAUGCAUAGAUAUCACGCAGAACCCCGAUUGCGAAGGCAGCAUACCGGCGCCCUACUGACGCUGAGGCACGAAAGUGCGGGUAUCGAACAGGAUUAGAUACCCCUGUAA